rnacentral:lncRNA from 1 species
CUUUUUCAGAAAUUGGGUUCUCGCUCAACUCUCUUGGCUCUGUCUCUCUCUUUAGCCUAGCUCUCUCUCUCUCUCCGACAUAGUCAUCUUCCUCCCUCAGCCAUCCAAGCUUAACUCCACAGGUCACAUCCACGAGGUACUGUUCACUUUCCUUUUCUUAGAAAUUUGGGGUUUUUGUGAAUUUGGUUUAUGAUGCAUGGAUUUGUUUGAAAUUGGUUUAGGGGUUUCUUCCAAAUUGGUUUGAUAGGAAGGUGAUGUUGUUGUUGCUGUCGCUGACAGACUAUUUUUCCUGGGUUGUGGUUGGUGGGUGUUACUGCGAAUGCUUACAAGGUUGCUGAUUCUCCUUCUAAGGUCUCUCUUUCUCUCUAUUUCUUCAAAUUCUAAGGUUUUUUUUUUUUUUUUUUGGGUUACUUUUUUUUGAUUUCUUUUGCUAAUUGUAAUUGGGCCUUUGUUGCAGAGGGGGAUUUGUUUUGUGCCCAAAAGAUUGUGACUUUGUUGAAAGUUCGUAAAUGGAAAAGGCAGCUGCCCCCUGCGGCUUGGAACGCUCAAUUCGGAGGUAUUAUGCCUUGAAUUUUUACAAAAGAAGAAUUGGAACUACCCUAUAGAAGGCAAAACAAAAAUAUAUAAGAGGAAAAAAGGAGAAAAUUUAUCUAAUUUCCCUUUUUUUUAGUUGUAUUUUUUUUUUCUCGGUCCUUUUUUUGGGGGGGGGUGGUGUUCAGGAUGCAGGGUCGAUCUAGUUGGUUUACAUUGAUGUAGUUCCAAUAUGUAAAGAUGGAGUUUAUAUAUAUAUGUACAUGAUAUAGAGUCAAUUUCAGACCUUGUUAAUGGUAUUAGCCUGUUAGGCUUGUGGGAGAUUCAUUUUGUUUUCUUUCAUUUUCUAUAAAUGAUUCUGAUUAUUUACAACGUUGGACAGACUUCCCUACAUCAUUUUUGUUGUUGGUGGGGGGGGAGGGGGGGAGGAGACACCCUGUUUCGUUACAGGGUUUAUUGACUGCAUUCUUCCUUGUUCUGGAAGACCUCCUCAGUUCCAUUGAGCCGACAAACCUUAUGAAGUUGAAUGUGAAGUGUUACCUUGCAUCUACAUGUUUCAUCUUUUAACUUUAUUUUCAUGUUUCACACUGAUGCUUGUAGUUAUUUCUAGUUUUGCAUACAGAUUAGCAAAUAGGUUAUGCAUUUACUGUUUAGUCAUCUAAUGAUUUGAUAUCUAAUAUUUAGGCAUGUGGGAAUUUAUAGAUGUACCGAUUAUGCAUACAUAUAGGUUUUGUGCUUGUAUUAGGAAGUUAGAUUCUUGUGGUUCCUCUUCAAUGGCAUGAAUUUAAAUUGUUGUGCUUCAUGAUUAGGGUCUGAAGAACAACCAUGUAGUAAGAAAGUUGGAGAAACGUCAACAGAUUUGCACCCUUGACCAACAUAUUGAAGAGUAAUUUGGUGGUGGUCGUCUAUUGGCUUGUAUCUCAUCACGACCUAGAUAGUGGCUGUGCUGAUGGGUAUGUGACUUUAUUUGCCUAUGUCUGUUUCUAGUCAGCCGAUAUGUCAUUGGCAUAUUAGUGUAGUUACCAUAUUGCAAGGGCUGAAAUCUGGAUGAUAACAGCUUCUUUUUAUUGUUGUUUUAAAGUGAGGUAUGUAUGGAUCUUAUGAAAUUUUUACAGAAAUAUAUUGGAGGGCAAAUAAUUUUAUUUUAGUUUUUUUAUUCCCAAAUGAUACCCAAAACAUGUAAGCUUCACACUAUGUUAAUUUCUGCAGGAUGGGAAAACAUUGGACAAUGAGUUGGAGGUUGUUAAGGGAAAGAAGCUAGACAGGGGCUACAUAUCCCCUUAUUUCAUCACCAACCAGAACAAUCAGAAAUGUG